GAGGUUGUGGCUCAGCGGUAGAGCGCUCCCCUAGCACGGGUGAGGCCCUGGGUUCCAUCCACAGCACCACA
rnacentral:tRNA from 1 species